GCGAGCUCAUCACACUCCACACCAGGUCUAUAUACAGUAACGUGAGGUCCCUUCUCCUCCUGGGGCGGAAUGUCGCCCUGCGGCAGCCGCUCCGGACCCAGGAUGACACCCUCCAACUGUGGAACCACACCUUUUUUCAGCAAAUCUUGUUGGGAUAAACGGAGGAGAGGAAAGCCAAAACAGUGAUCCCCCAAAAGGGAGCUGCCUGUGGCCCAGGUGCCUAUGAGGUGGAUUCUUUACCAACUGGGCCACCAGGGAAGCCCCAGCAAGCAGUCUGGCCGGGCACAACCUGGCAGGAAGAAGCCCCUACAAGGGGGCAGCCUGGAGCGAGCACGCACAGACGCCUGCUGCCCUCACACACAUC